AACGAACGCUGGCGGCGCGCCUAAUACAUGCAAGUCGAGCGAGAAGACGUAGCAAUACGUUUGUAAAGCGGCGAACGGGUGAGGAAUACAUGGGUAACCUACCCUCGAGUGGGGAAUAACUAGCCGAAAGGUUAGCUAAUACCGCGUACGCUCCUUGGACUUCGGUUCAGGGAGGAAAGCGAUACCGUGGGUAUCGCGCUCUUGGAUGGGCUCAUGUCCUAUCAGCUUGUUGGUGAGGUAACGGCUCACCAAGGCUUCGACGGGUAGCUGGUCUGAGAGGACGAUCAGCCACACUGGCACUGCGACACGGGCCAGACUCCUACGGGAGGCAGCAGUAAGGAAUAUUGCGCAAUGGGCGAAAGCCUGACGCAGCGACGCCGCGUGGGGGAUGAAGGUCUUCGGAGUGUAAACCCCUUUCGGGAGGGAAGAUGGAACGAGCAAUCGUUCGGACGGUACCUCCAGAAGCAGCCACGGCUAACUUCGUGCCAGCAGCCG
rnacentral:rRNA from 1 species